rnacentral:rRNA from 1 species
ACUCCUACGGGAGGCAGCAGUGGGGAAUCUUCCACAAUGGACGAAAGUCUGAUGGAGCAACGCCGCGUGAGUGAAGAAGGGUUUCGGCUCGUAAAGCUCUGUUGUCGGGGACGAAUGUGAGAUACUUGAACAAAGUGUCUCAAUGACGGUACCUGACGAGGAAGCCACGGCUAACUACGUGCCAGCAGCCGCGGUAAU